rnacentral:rRNA from 1 species
UACGGAGGGUGCAAGCGUUAUCCGGAUUCACUGGGUUUAAAGGGUGCGUAGGUGGGCUGGUAAGUCAGUGGUGAAAUCUCCGAGCUUAACUCGGAAACUGCCAUUGAUACUAUCAGUCUUGAAUUUUCUGGAGGUAAGCGGAAUAUGUCAUGUAGCGGUGAAAUGCUUAGAUAUGACAUAGAACACCCAUUGCGAAGGCAGCUUACUACGGGAUAAUUGACGCUGAGGCACGAAAGCGUGGGGAUCAAACAGG